rnacentral:rRNA from 1 species
UAUAAUAUGAGUUUGAUCCUGGCUCAGGAUGAACGCUAGUAGUAUGCUUAACACAUGCAAGUCGAACGGAAACUUGUUUUCGUGGCGAACGGGUGAGUAGAUGCAGAAUUUUCCCUUCUAGUUCAGUACAAAAAUUCUUUAUUGAAUUUAAAUUCUGAAUAAUUAAAGGUUUGUUUUAUACAUUCCGCUAGAAGAUAAAUCUGCUAAAGAUUAGGUUGUUGGUAAUUUAAUAGCUUACCAAGCCUUUGAUCUUUAGUUGGUCUUAGAGGAUGAUCAACCACACUGGAACUGAAAUAAGGUCCAGGCUGACAUGUCGGCCAGCAGUGAGGAAUAUUGGACAAUGAACGAAAGUUUGAUCCAGCAAUACUAACUGGGUGAUGACGGCUUAUUUAAGUUGUAAGAUCCUUUGAUUAGAGAAGAUAAUGACAUUAUUUAAUUGAAUUAGUCCUGGCUAAUACUCGUGCCAGCAGCCGCGGUAAUACGGGAAGGGCAAGCGUUAUCCGGCAUGACUGGGCGUAAAGAGUCCGUAGACUGUAAAGUAAGUUUUUUGUCAAAUUUUAAAACCCAAUUUUAAAACAGCAAUUAAUACUACUUUACUUCGAGUUUAAUACAGAAAAGUAGAAUUUUAUACGAAGGGGUGAAAUCUGUAGAUAUAUAAAGGAAUGUCAGUAGCGAAGGCGACUUUUUGGUAUAAACUGACGUUGAGGGACGAAAGUGUGGGUAGCAAACAGGAUUAGAGACCCUGGUAGUCCACACCGUAAAUUCUGAGUGCUGUAAUUUAAUUGUAAUAUUUUGAAUAUUAUUUAGAUUUUCAAGCUAACGCAAUAAGCACUCCGCCUGAAGAGUAUGAUCGCAAGAUUGGAACUCAAAGGAAUUGACGGGGGUCUAACACUAGUGGUGGAGCAUGUGGUUUAAUGCGAUAAUCCGCGCAAAACCUUACCAAUUCUUGACAUAAUUAAAUUUAUAGCUUUUAAUUCAGUGUAGGAGUUAGAAGUAAUGUUUUUUUACAGGUGUUGCACGACUGUCGUCAGCUCGUGUCGUGAGAUGUUUGGUUAAGUCCUGAAACGGGCGCAACUCUUACUUUUAAAUAAAGUAUCACGUUCUAAAAGAUUUUUAUAUGAAGAUCUUUUAAAUGCUUUAAAAGUACCGUCAAUGAUAAAUUGAAGGAAGGUAAGAAUGAAGUCAAGUCAAUGUGACCCUAAUGAAUUGGGCUACACAUGUGCUACAAUGAAAAUUACAAAAAGUGACAAAAAAGAAAAAUUUUAAGUUAAUCAACAAAAAUUUUCCCAGUUCGAAUUGUAGACUGCAACUCGUCUACAUGAAGUUGGAAUCACUAGUAAUCGCGAAUCAGAACGUCGCGGUGAACAUGUAACUUGGCCUUGUACACACCGCCCGUCACUUGCAAAGAAUCAGUUUCGCUUGAAGGUUUUAAUAAAACCCAUUGAGAGAUCGAUAAUUUGGAUGAAGUCGUAACAAGGUAGCUGUACGGGAACGUGUAGCUGGAACAAAAUGAAU